AGUGAACGCUGGCGGUAGGCCUAACACAUGCAAGUCGAACGGCAGCACAGUAAGAGCUUGCUCUUACGGGUGGCGAGUGGCGGACGGGUGAGGAAUACAUCGGAAUCUACUUUUUCGUGGGGGAUAACGUAGGGAAACUUACGCUAAUACCGCAUACGACCUACGGGUGAAAGCAGGGGAUCUUCGGACCUUGCGCGAUUGAAUGAGCCGAUGUCGGAUUAGCUAGUUGGCGGGGUAAAGGCCCACCAAGGCGACGAUCCGUAGCUGGUCUGAGAGGAUGAUCAGCCACAUGGGAAGUGAGACAGGGUCCAGACUCCUACGGGAGGCAGCAGUGGGGAAUAUUGGACAAUGGGGGCAAGCCUGAUCCAGCCAUACCGCGUGGGUGAAGAAGGCGUUCGGGUUGUAAAGCCCUUUUGUUGGGAAAGAAAAGCAGCAGGUUAAUACCCCGCUGUUCUGACGGUACCCAAAGAAUAAGCACCGGCUAACUUCGUG
rnacentral:rRNA from 1 species